UUAAAAUGAGAGUUUGAUCCUGGCUCAGGACGAACGCUGGCGGCGUGCCUAAUACAUGCAAGUCGAACGAAACUUUCUUACACCGAAUGCUUGCAUUCACCGUAAGAAGUUGAGUGGCGGACGGGUGAGUAACACGUGGGUAACCUGCCUAAAAGAAGGGGAUAACACUUGGAAACAGGUGCUAAUACCGUAUAUCUCUAAGGAUCGCAUGAUCCUUAGAUGAAAGAUGGUUCUGCUAUCGCUUUUAGAUGGACCCGCGGCGUAUUAACUAGUUGGUGGGGUAACGGCCUACCAAGGUGAUGAUACGUAGCCGAACUGAGAGGUUGAUCGGCCACAUUGGGACUGAGACACGGCCCAAACUCCUACGGGAGGCAGCAGUAGGGAAUCUUCCACAAUGGACGCAAGUCUGAUGGAGCAACGCCGCGUGAGUGAAGAAGGUCUUCGGAUCGUAAAACUCUGUUGUUAGAGAAGAACACGAGUGAGAGUAACUGUUCAUUCGAUGACGGUAUCUAACCAGCAAGUCACGGCUAACUACGUGCCAGCAGCCGCGGUAAUACGUAGGUGGCAAGCGUUGUCCGGAUUUAUUGGGCGUAAAGGGAACGCAGGCGGUCUUUUAAGUCUGAUGUGAAAG
rnacentral:rRNA from 1 species